rnacentral:rRNA from 1 species
GACGGGGGGGUCCUAGCGUUGUUCGGAAUCAUUGGGCGUAAAGCGUGUGCAGGUGGUUCUGUAAGUUGGAUGUGAAAGCCUUGGGCUUAACCCAAGAAGUGCAUUCAAAACUACCAAACUUGAGUAGGGAAGAGGGUCGUGGAAUUCCAGGUGUAGUGGUGAAAUACGUAGAUAUCUGGAGGAACACCGGUGGCGAAGGCGGCGACCUGGUCCGUAUACUGACACUCAUACACGAAAGCGUGGG